GUGGGGAAUAUUGGGCAAUGGGGGAAACCCUGACCCAGCAACGCCGCGUGAAGGAAGAAGGCUUUCGGGUUGUAAACUUCUUUUACCAGGGACGAAGGACGUGACGGUACCUGGAGAAAAAGCUCCGGCUAACUACGUGCCAGCAGCCGCGGUAAUACGUAGGGAGCGAGCGUUGUCCGGAUUUACUGGGUGUAAAGGGCGUGUAGGCGGAGGAGCAAGUCAGAAGUGAAAUCUCCGGGCUUAACCCGGAAACUGCUUUUGAAACUGUUCCCCUUGAGUACUGGAGAGGCAGGCGGAAUUCCUAGUGUAGCGGUGAAAUGCGUAGAUAUUAGGAGGAACACCAGUGGCGAAGGCGGCCUGCUGGACAGCAACUGACGCUGAGGCGCGAAAGCGUGGGGAGCAAACAGGA
rnacentral:rRNA from 1 species